rnacentral:rRNA from 1 species
GACGAACGCUGGCGGCGUGCUUAACACAUGCAAGUCGAACGAUGAAGCGCCAGCUUGCUGGUGUGGAUUAGUGGCGAACGGGUGAGUAACACGUGAGUAACCUGCCCCCUACUCUGGGAUAAGCCUGGGAAACUGGGUCUAAUACUGGAUAUGACCAAUCACUGCAUGGUGUGUUGGUGGAAAGAUUUUGUGGUGGGGGAUGGACUCGCGGCCUAUCAGCUUGUUGGUGGGGUAAUGGCCUACCAAGGCGACGACGGGUAGCCGGCCUGAGAGGGCGACCGGCCACACUGGGACUGAGACACGGCCCAGACUCCUACGGGAGGCAGCAGUGGGGAAUAUUGCACAAUGGGCGAAAGCCUGAUGCAGCGACGCCGCGUGAGGGAUGACGGCCUUCGGGUUGUAAACCUCUUUCACCAGGGACGAAGCUAACGUGACGGUACCUGGAGAAGAAGCACCGGCUAACUACGUG